GGCCUUUUGAUGUUAAUUUAAGGUCUAACCUGCCCAAUGAUAUAUAUAUUAAAUGGCCGCGGUAUUUUGACCGUGCAAAGGUAGCAUAAUCAUUAGUUUCUUAAUUGGGAGCUUGUAUGAAGGGUUUGAUGAGAAAAGAAUUGUCUCUGUUUCAAUUUUUUAGAAAUUUAUUUUUAAGUUAAAAGGCUUAAAUUUAUGUUAAAGACGAGAAGACCCUAUAGAGUUUUAUAUUUUUUUGGAAUUGUUAUAUUUUAGGAUUUUUUAAUAAUUUUGGAAAAUUAUUUGGUUGGGGUGAUUUGAAAAUUGAAUAAACUUUUUUACGUUAAAUAUCAUUGAUUUAUGAGUUUUUGAUCCUUGUUAAAGAUUAAUAGAUAAAAUUACCUUAGGGAUAACAGCGUAAUUUUUUUUAGAGUUCUUAUCGAAAGAAAAGAUUGCGACCUCGAUGUUGGAUUAAAAUUAAUUAUUGGUGUAGAAGCUAAUAUGUUUAGGUCUGUUCGACCUUUAAAUUUUUACAUGAUCUGAGUUUAAACCGGUGUGAG
rnacentral:rRNA from 1 species